UCUAAUGUGGCAGAUUAGUGCAAUGAAUUUAAGCUUCAUAUAUAAAGGUUUAUUCUUUCAUUAGAA
rnacentral:tRNA from 1 species